GAAAUGCGAUAAGUAAUGUGAAUUGCAGAAUUCAGUGAAUCAUCGAAUCUUUGAACGCACCUUGCACCCUUUGGCAUUCCGAAGGGUAUGCUCGUUUGAGUGUCAUUGUACUCUCACACUCCCAAUACUUUUGGAUUGGGAGCGGUGGACUUGGGUGUUGCUGCUUUACUGUGGCUCACCUCAAAUGGAGUAGUGCAACUCUCGGUUGGACAUAGUACGGCGUGAUAAGUGUCUUCGCCGGCGCCUCAUUAGAGGGUGGCCGAUCGGGAGCUCUGUGCUUCAAACCGUCUUCGGACAACAUCUGACAACUUGACCUCAAAUCGAGUAGGACUACCCGCUGAACUUAA
rnacentral:misc_RNA from 1 species